UGGCUGAUUGACCUAAUGGCA
rnacentral:miRNA from 1 species